GAAAUGCGAUAAUUAAUGUGAAUUGCAGAAUUCAGUGAAUCAUCGAGUCUUUGAACGCACAUUGCGCCCCCUGGUAUUCCGGGGGGCAUGCCUGUCCGAGCGUCAUUGCUGCCCUCAAGCACGGCUUGUGUGUUGGGCUUCCGUCCCUGGCAACGGGGACGGGCCCAAAAGGCAGUGGCGGCACCAUGUCUGGUCCUCGAGGGUAUGGGGCUUUGUCACCCGCUCCCGUAGGUCCAGCUGGCAGCUAGCCUCGCAACCAAUCUUUUUAACCAGGUUGACCUCGGAUCAGGUAGGGAUACCCGCUGAACUUAAGC
rnacentral:misc_RNA from 1 species